CCUACGGGGGGCAGCAGUGGGGAAUAUUGGACAAUGGGGGGAACCCUGAUCCAGCCAUGCCGCGUGUGUGAAGAAGGCCCUCGGGUUGUAAAGCACUUUCAGUGAGGAAGAACGCCUGGUGGUUAAUACCCAUCAGGAAAGACAUCACUCACAGAAGAAGCACCGGCUAACUCCGUGCCAGCAGCCGCGGUAAUACGGAGGGUGCGAGCGUUAAUCGGAAUUACUGGGCGUAAAGCGCGCGUAGGUGGCUUGAUAAGCCGGUUGUGAAAGCCCCGGGCUCAACCUGGGAACGGCAUCCGGAACUGUCAAGCUAGAGUGCAGGAGAGGAAGGUAGAAUUCCCGGUGUAGCGGUGAAAUGUGUAGAGAUCGGGAGGAAUACCAGUGGCGAAGGCGGCCUUCUGGACUGACACUGACACUGAGGUGCGAAAGCGUGGGUAGCAAACAGGAUUAGAUACCCUGGUAGUC
rnacentral:rRNA from 1 species